rnacentral:tRNA from 1 species
GCGGAUGUGGCUCAGUGGUAAAGCAAGUGCUUGCCAGGCAUGCACAAGGUCUUAGGAUUAAUCCCCAGCACCACA